rnacentral:rRNA from 1 species
GACGAACGCUGGCGGCGUGCUUAACACAUGCAAGUCGAGGGCGGUGGCUCCUUCGGGGGCCACCGACCGGCGAACGGGUGCGUAACACGUGAGCAACCCGCCGGGCAGCGGGGGAUAGCCGGCCCAACGGCCGGGUAAUACCGCAUACGCUUGCUCCGGGACAUCCCGGGGCAAGGAAAACUCCGGUGCUGCCCGAGGGGCUCGCGGCCUAUCAGCUGGUUGGCGGGGUAACGGCCCACCAAGGCGACGACGGGUAGCUGGUCUGAGAGGAUGGCCAGCCACAUUGGGACUGAGAGACGGCCCAGACUCCUACGGGAGGCAGCAGUGGGGAAUCUUGCGCAAUGGCCGCAAGGCUGACGCAGCGACGCCGCGUGGAGGACGACGCCUCGGGGUGUAAGCUCCUGUUGCCCGGGACGAAAAUCCGCCUUCGAGCGGGCUGACGGUACCGGGUGAGAAGCACCGGCUAACUCCGUGCCAGCAGCCGCGGUAAUACGGAGGGUGCGAGCGUUGUCCGGAAUCACUGGGCGUAAAGGGCGCGUAGGCGGUCUGGAUAAGCGCGGGGUGAAAGUCCGGGCUCAACCCCGGAUCGGCCUGGCGGACUGUCCGACUGGAGCACAGUAGAGGCGGGUGGAAUUCCGGGUGUAGCGGUGGAAUGCGUAGAGAUCCGGAAGAACACCGGUGGCGAAGGCGGCCCGCUGGGCUGUGGCUGACGCUGAGGCGCGACAGCGUGGGGAGCAAACAGGAUUAGAUACCCUGGUAGU